GCUUAGCUCAGCUGGUUUAGAGCGCCUGCCUUACACGCAGGAGGUCAGAGGUUCGAAUCCUCUAGCG
rnacentral:tRNA from 1 species